AUUGAACGCUGGCGGCAUGCUUUACACAUGCAAGUCGAGCGGCAGCGCGGGGGCAACCCUGGCGGCGAGCGGCGAACGGGUGAGUAAUGCAUCGGAACGUAUCCUCGAGUGGGGGAUAACCCAGCGAAAGUUGGGCUAAUACCGCAUGAGCUCUGAGGAGGAAAGCGGGGGACCUGCGAGGGCCUCGCGCUGGAGGAGCGGCCGAUGUCCGAUUAGCUAGUUGGUGGGGUAAAGGCUUACCAAGGCGACGAUCGGUAGCUGGUCUGAGAGGAUGAUCAGCCACACUGGGACUGAGACACGGCCCAGACUCCUACGGGAGGCAGCAGUGGGGAAUUUUGGACAAUGGGGGCAACCCUGAUCCAGCCAUGCCGCGUGAGUGAAGAAGGUCUUCGGGUUGUAAAGCUCUUUCGGACGGAACGAAAUGGGGUGGACUAAUACUCCUGUCUGAUGACGGUACCGUAAGAAGAAGCACCGGCUAACUACGUG
rnacentral:rRNA from 1 species